CCAUUGAAAAUGAUCCCAAGUACUGGGAGGUUUUAUCAUCAGCAUUGGCAGUUAGCUGGUUAGAUACAGUUAUUCUAGCUGCUCAUCUGAAGGUCAUAAAGCCUUUGUUCAUGUGAAACAGGAUCAAAGUUGUUCUCCAGCAAGCAUAGAUGGUAAGGAAGGUGGUAAUAAUGUGGCUGAUUUCAAUA